rnacentral:rRNA from 1 species
AUUGAACGCUGGCGGCAUGCCUUACACAUGCAAGUCGAACGGCAGCACGGGAGCAAUCCUGGUGGCGAGUGGCGAACGGGUGAGUAAAGUAUCGGAACGUGCCCAGUCGUGGGGGAUAACGUAGCGAAAGUUACGCUAAUACCGCAUACGAUCUAUGGAUGAAAGCGGGGGAUCGCAAGACCUCGCGCGAUUGGAGCGGCCGACAUCAGAUUAGGUAGUUGGUGGGGUAAAGGCUCACCAAGCCGACGAUCUGUAGCUGGUCUGAGAGGACGACCAGCCACACUGGGACUGAGACACGGCCCAGACUCCUACGGGAGGCAGCAGUGGGGAAUUUUGGACAAUGGGCGAAAGCCUGAUCCAGCCAUGCCGCGUGCAGGAUGAAGGCCUUCGGGUUGUAAACUGCUUUUGUACGGAGCGAAAAGGCUCUCUCUAAUACAGGGGGCUCAUGACGGUACCGUAAGAAUAAGCACCGGCUAACUACGUGCCAGCAGCCGCCGUAA